UGCCUAUGAUCUGACAACUAAACUGCAUUACUCAAGGCAAGGUAGACUUGCCCAUGAUCUGUUAACUAAACUGCAUUACUCAAGGCAAGGUAGACUUGCCCUUGAUCUUUUAACUAAACUGUAUUACUCAAGGCAAGGUAGACUUGCCCAAGACCUGUUGACCAAAAUGUAUUACUCAAGGCAAGGUAGACUUGCCCAUGACCUGUUGACCAAAAUGUA